AGAUAGUUUGAAUAUCUGAAAAUGACCCAAGGUGACUCCAACCUUCCUAUAGCUCCAGUGCUGGUUACCCUUCAUGCCAUGACAGUCAUACAGUGUGACAGGGCUACUGUGCGAAACGGAAUCGAAGCAGAAUUUCCUGGUGUGAAGAGGUUCCCCAGGGCGGAUGUCUUCUCUCCAACCAAAGAAAAGGCUGACUCUAACUCGAUGAACCAUUGAAGAAGCAUGGCUUGAGGUGGAGAGUUCUCAGAUUGGAAUGCAGUAGUCAACCAGUGUCCUGCAAGAGGAGUUGAGGAAUGAUUGGAGGAUUUAUUUCUGGACAGAGAGCUAGGUGAAGCAGUUGGCACCAGUCGGAGGAAGGGGCUCCUGCGAUGUUUUCUCCACCAGUCUGGGGAGUGUUUCACCUGUUGGGGAACUGAUACCUUUCUGUGUCUGCUUGUAUCAACAGCUUUAAGCUCAAAGCCAUCCUCUAGAGGCAAGACACAAAAGAUUAGAUACCUGAAGAUACCGGGGGAAGCCUGGCUGAAAUAGCCAGAGCUUCGGGAACUAGCUGAGCGGCGGCGAACCAGCUGAGCAGCGGGGAACAGCAGAGCAGCACACAGCAGGAGUUUGCCUGGGAGUUCGCCUGGAGUGA